rnacentral:rRNA from 1 species
GACGAACGCUGGCGGCGUGCUUAACACAUGCAAGUCGAACGGAAAGGCCCUGCUUUUGUGGGGUGCUCGAGUGGCGAACGGGUGAGUAACACGUGAGUAACCUGCCCUUGACUUUGGGAUAACUUCAGGAAACUGGGGCUAUUACCGGAUAGGAGCUCCUGCUGCAUGGUGGGGGUUGGAAAGUUUCGGCGGUUGGGGAUGGACUCGCGGCUUAUCAGCUUGUUGGUGGGGUAGUGGCUUACCAAGGCUUUGACGGGUAGCCGGCCUGAGAGGGUGACCGGCCACAUUGGGACUGAGAUACGGCCCAGACUCCUACGGGAGGCAGCAGUGGGGAAUAUUGCACAAUGGGCUGAAGCCUGAUGCAGCAACGCCGCGUGCGGUAUGACGGCCUUCGGGUUGUAAACCGCUGUCGCCUGUGACGAAGCGUGAGUGACGGUAAUGGGUAAAGAAGCACCGGCUAACUACGUG